UCUUGGUCAUUUAGAGGAAGUAAAAGUCGUAACAAGGUUUCCGUAGGUGAACCUGCGGAAGGAUCAUUAUUGAAUAAACAUUUGAUAGGCUGUUGCUGGCCCUUCUAGGGUAGUGUGCACGCUUGUCAUUUAUUUAUUUUUUUCCACCUGUGCACCUUUUUGUAGACCUUGGAGAAAGCAAAUUGUCUUGAGCAAUCGGGAUAGGUUUUGGGGACUGCUGUGCCUUUUGAAUGAAGUGCCAGCUUUUCCUUGUCUCUCUAGGUUCUAUGUUACUCAUAUACUCCUACGAAUGUAAUAGAAUGUUGAUCUGGGUCUUUGAUGCCCAUAAAGUUAUAUACAACUUUCAGCAAUGGAUCUCUUGGCUCUCGCAUCGAUGAAGAACGCAGCGAAAUGCGAUAAGUAAUGUGAAUUGCAGAAUUCAGUGAAUCAUCGAAUCUUUGAACGCAUCUUGCGCUCCUUGGUAUUCUGAGGAGCAUGCCUGUUUGAGUGUCAUUAAAUUCUCAACUACACUGACUUUGAUUAGUGUGGCUUGGAUCUGGGGGGGGGGAAUUUGUUGUGGGCUUUUUUGUAGUCUGCUCCCCUGAAAUUAAUUAGCGGUACCUUGGUGGAACUGUCUACAGGUGUGAUAAUUAUCUACAUUCUAGACAUCUGCUGGAAUGCUGCUUUCUAGACCUUAUUUGUAUUUGACAAUCUUGACCUCAAAUCAGGUAAGACUACCCGCUGAACUUAACAUAUCAAUAGGCGGAGGAAAUGAAACCAACCAAACUGG
rnacentral:rRNA from 1 species